rnacentral:rRNA from 1 species
AUACGGAGGGUGCAAGUGUUGUUCGGAAUUACUGGGCGUAAAGCGCGCGUAGGCGGUCUGUUAUGUCAGAUGUGAAAGUCCUCGGCUCAACCGGGGAAGUGCAUUUGAAACUGGCAGACUUGAGUACUGGAGGGGGUGGUGGAAUUCCCGGUGUAGAGGUGAAAUUCGUAGAUAUCGGGAGGAAUACCGGUGGCGAAGGCGACCACCUGGCCAGAUACUGACGCUGAGGUGCGAAAGCGUGGGGAGCAAACAGGAUUAGAAACCCUAGUAGUCC